rnacentral:sRNA from 1 species
UCACUUCCCUUGGUCUGGGCUUCUCUGAGGCGGCGAGAGAUGGUCAGGUCUGGAGCUCGACCGGGCCAGAAGCACUCCUGAAAAGAAAUCACCACUUUCUAAGAGACUAUCCCCUCAGCCACAAAUAAGAGCAGCUACAACACAGCUAGUCAGCAACAGUGGACUUGCUGUCUCUGGAAAAGAAAAUAAACUGUGUACACCUGUAGUCUCUUCCUCUUCAACAAAGAAAGCAGAAGAUGCACCUGAAAAACUUUCCAGAGCAUCUGAUAUGAAGGACACACAGCUCCUCAAGAAAAUAAAGGAAGCAAUUGGUAAGAUCCCUGCUGCCACCAAGGAGCCAGAGGAACAAACUGCAUGUCAUGGCCCAUCAGGUUGUCUUAGCAACAGCCUUCAAGUGAAAGGCAAUACUGUCUGUGAUGGUAGUGUUUUCACUUCUGACUUGAUGUCUGACUGGAGCAUCUCUUCGUUUUCAACGUUCACUUCUCGUGAUGAACAAGACUUCAGAAAUGGCCUUGCGGCAUUAGAUGCCAACAUAGCUAGACUCCAGAAGUCUUUAAGGACUGGUCUUCCGGAGAAAUGAAUUCAGAAGAAAACUCAUCAGGUGCUUCUUUUUAAAACUAGAACUUGGCUAUAUUGAAUGUGUAUUUUUCUUUAGUGAAAUGAUGUUUUAUGUUAUUAUGUUUGAAGUAAUACAUUG